UACGUAGGGUGCGAGCGUUAAUCGGAAUUACUGGGCGUAAAGCGUGCGCAGGCGGUUUGUUAAGCCAGAUGUGAAAGCCCCGGGCUCAACCUGGGAACUGCGUUUGGUACUGGCAAGCUAGAGUACGGCAGAGGGGGGUGGAAUUCCACGUGUAGCAGUGAAAUGCGUAGAGAUGUGGAGGAACACCGAUGGCGAAGGCAGCCCCCUGGGUCAAGAUUGACGCUCAUGCACGAAAGCGUGGGGAGCAAACAGG
rnacentral:rRNA from 1 species